rnacentral:misc_RNA from 1 species
AAGUCGUAACAAGGUAUCCGUAGGUGAACCUGCGGAUGGAUCAUUAAUGAAGAUUUUCAAGUCAAAGUCUUGUGAACUGUUUUCCAACUAGUACUAGUGGGCAAGUCCCACUAGGCAACACCAACGUAUAUUACCCCUAGCCUGACGUCUACUUUAGAGUAGAGAAAUCUAAACCUAAAGACAACUUUUAGCAAUGGAUCUCUUGGCUCUC